GUAGCAAAUCUAGCCUACCUACCAUAAUAUUAAAUAAGUUUUAAUAUAUUAAAUAAAACAUUUUUGUCAUUUUAGUAUAGGAGAUAGAAAAAUUUUUUAGCGCAAUAGAUGUAGUACUGUAAAGGAAAAAUGAAAUAGAAGUUAAAUAAAACAUAAAAACAAUAAAAAGCAAAGACUAACCCUUAUACCUUUUGCAUCAUGGUCUAGUAAGUUUAAUCUAACAUAAAGCACUUUAGUUAGACAUCCCGAAACUAAGCGAGCUACUCCAAAGCAGCAAAACGAGCUAAUCCUUCUCUGUGGCAAAAGAGUGGAAUGACUUUUGAGUAGUGGUGAUAAACCUACCGAGCCUAG
rnacentral:rRNA from 1 species